GACGAACGCUGGCGGCGUGCUUAACACAUGCAAGUCGAACGGAAAGGCCCUGCUUUUGUGGGGUGCUCGAGUGGCGAACGGGUGAGUAACACGUGAGUAACCUGCCCUUGACUUUGGGAUAACUUCAGGAAACUGGGGCUAAUACCGGAUAGGAGCUCCUGCUGCAUGGUGGGGGUUGGAAAGUUUCGGCGGUUGGGGAUGGACUCGCGGCUUAUCAGCUUGUUGGUGGGGUAGUGGCUUACCAAGGCUUUGACGGGUAGCCGGCCUGAGAGGGUGACCGGCCACAUUGGGACUGAGAUACGGCCCAGACUCCUACGGGAGGCAGCAGUGGGGAAUAUUGAACAAUGGGCGGAAGCCUGAUGCAGCAACGCCGCGUGUGGGAUGACGGCCUUCGGGUUGUAAACCGCUUUCGCCUGUGACGAAGCGUGAGUGACGGUAAUGGGUAAAGAAGCACCGGCUAACUACGUG
rnacentral:rRNA from 1 species